GAGUUUGAUCCUGGCUCAGAUUGAACGCUGGCGGCAUGCUUUACACAUGCAAGUCGAACGGCAGCACGAGUGCUUGCACUUGGUGGCGAGUGGCGAACGGGUGAGUAAUGCAUUGGAACGUGCCUUGUAUUGGGGGAUAACUGAGCGAAAGCUUAGCUAAUACCGCAUACGCCCUGAUGGGGAAAGCUGGGGAUCGUUUGACCUGGCGAUAUAAGAGCGGCCAAUGUCUGAUUAGCUAGUUGGUGAGGUAAAGGCUUACCAAGGCGACGAUCAGUAGCGGGUCUGAGAGGAUGAUCCGCCACACUGGGACUGAGAGACGGCCCAGACUCCUACGGGAGGCAGCAGUGGGGAAUUUUGGACAAUGGGGGGAACCCUGAUCCAGCCAUGCCGCGUGUCUGAAGAAGGCCUUCGGGUUGUAAAGGACUUUUGUUGGGGAGCAAAGGUAUCUGGUUA
rnacentral:rRNA from 1 species